rnacentral:rRNA from 1 species
GACGAACGCUGGCGGCGUGCUUAACACAUGCAAGUCGAACGGAAAGGCCCUGCUUUCAUGGUAUUCUAGUGGCGAACGGGUGAGUAACACGUGGGUGUACUGCGCUCCACUUCGUGGUAAGCCUUGGAAACUGGGUCUAAUACCGGGUAUAAGCCAUUUUGCUGCUGAUGGUUGGAUGGUUUUUUCGGUGUAGGAUGGGCUCGCGGCCUAUCAGCUUGUUGGUGGGGUAAUGGCCUACCAAGGCGGCGACGGGUAGCCGGCCUGAGAGGGUGGACGGCCACAUUGGGACUGAGAUACGGCCCAGACUCCUACGGGAGGCAGCAGUGGGGAAUAUUGCACAAUGGGCGGAAGCCUGAUGCAGCGACGCCGCGUGGGGGAUGACGGCCUUCGGGUUGUAAACUCCUUUCGCUAGGGACGAAGCGUGUGUGACGGUAACGAGAUAAGAAGCACCGGCUAACUACGUG